AUUGAACGCUGGCGGCAGGCCUAACACAUGCAAGUCGAACGAGUGGCGGACGGGUGAGUAAUGUCUGGGAAACUGCCUGAUGGAGGGGGAUCACUACUGUAAACGGUAGCUAAUACCGCAUACCAUCGGAUGUGCCCAGAUGGGAUUAGCUGGUAGGUGGGGUCAAGGCUCACCUAGGCGACGAUCCCUAGCUGGUCUGAGAGGAUGACCAGCCAGACUGGAGUUGAGAGACGGUCCAGACUCCUACGAGAGGCAGCAGCGGGGAAUAUUGCAAAAGGGGCGGAAACCUGAUGCAGCCAUGCCGCGUGUAUGAAGAAGGCCUUCGGGUGGUAAAGUACUGUCAGCGGGGAGGCGUUACCCGCCGAAGAAGCACCGGCUAACUCCGGGCCAGCAGCCGCGGUAAUAC
rnacentral:rRNA from 1 species